UUCAGCCUGAGUGACAGAGUGAGACUGUGUCUCAAAACAAACAAAAAACUACAUGCAGGAUUGUGUCUGUUCCCCAGUAGCCUAGGAAGUCAGACUUGAGCAUAAGCCCUGGCAACUUCUGAACUGCUCAGUGAGGCUUGUUUAGGGUUGGAGAGAUUUUAAAUGACAGCUAACAACCACAAUACUGAGCAUUUACUGAGCAAUUACUAUAUGCAAGGCACUGUACCAAAUAUGCCUCUUACAUAUACUCAAACCUCUCAGAAAAGCCUCAUUACAACCCUAUAAAGUGAGUAAUAUGUAAAAGCCCUUUUUACAGAUGAGAAAACUGAGGCACAAUGAGGCCAAAUGAUUUGCCAAGGUGUAACCAGUUUGUUUGAUUUCACCUUCUCCCAAGGACCAAGGUGGAUGGUGUCUUGGGCUUUUGCUUUGCAGGGGCUCCUGGCCAAGGGCUUUUGACAGUGGACAAGUGGGCCCACGGAAGCAAGCUCCCCAAGAACACCCCUCUGGGAAGCUUUUACUGGUGCUGGAGGAGAGCAAGCUGGUUGCGUCUGGCAAAGGGGCAACGUCCUUUUCGGAGACACCAAGAGAGAAUCCCUCCUGCCUGACUACCUUUGAGCUGAGACAUCAGUUUUUUUCCUGCCUUUGGACUAGAACCAAAACACCUGCUCUUCCUGGGUAUCCAGCCUGCUGGCCUUUGCACUAGAAUGAUAGCAUCCAUCUCCUUGGUCUUCAACUUGCUAACUGCACAUCUUAGGAUUUAUCAACCUCUAUAAUCACUAGAGAUGGGGUUUCACCAUGUUGGCCAGG